UCCCAGUCGAGCAGCCAAGGUGCUCCUGCCAAGCGCUCCGGCUCUCCCUGCAGGGGACACGCAGGCCCGCCUCAGGGCCCUGGAGUCAAAGCCUCAGGCUGCGGCAGCUCCUCUGAGACAAGUGGUCCCAGACCCCAAGGACCAGUCCCCUGCGUCCCCAACUCCAGGCCGACCUUCAGUCCGAGCUGGGCUGUUUGGCUACUUGUUUUCCAACCUGUUGAAGGUCCCCCUGCCCUGCCCUCCAAGCUGAGACUCCCAGCGGUCGGAGCACACGUGCCUGAGGGCAGGCACAGGGCAGGAGGGUGGCUGGCAGAGCGCAAGACCCCUCCACCCGCCGCUUCAGUGGUCUCAGUGGGCGGAUGAAGAGAUGCUGCCUCCAGACACUGCCUCCAGCCCGGGGCUCCCUGGGGAGGUGUCCCCCCCAGACUUCCAAUCCCGGAAAGGGGUGGGCAUCUCCCUAAAGGAGGGAGGAAGGAGGAGGAUGGGCCGGGGUGUGGAGGUGUAGAGGUAACCCCCCCUUCUUCUUUCCACCUCCACUCCAGAGCUGGUCCACGUGGGGGGAUCUUGGGGAUGAGCGCUUAAGGAGGCUGCUGGUCUGCCUGGAAUCCCCCUGGGGUUGUUCGAAUGCAGAAUCCAAGGCCUUCCCAGCCCACGCUGUACCCGCCUCUCUGCGGGUAAUCCUUACAUACAUCCGCGUUUAGGAACCUUGGGGAGGGCUGGAGAGAGGGGUGAACACGGGGGUCUGCCUGGUGGGGGAAGCAGAGUGAGGGACUGCACAGGGUGGGGGAUGCUGAAGAUAGAGACCAAGUCCAGAGCCUUGCAAAGGCCCCGCCCCUCCCCCAAGCCAGCACUUAAUCCUGUCCCUGCUACUUAACCUCUCCCACCAGAGACCCGGGCACUUUAACUCCAUUUAAAUAAGCCCUUGAGGGCUCAGAAGAAAUUGCUGCCAGCAAUUCAGAAGCCCUGAGCCCUGAGGGCAGUCAGAGGCUUUCUGUCCAGCUGCCCUGGGUUCCAGGCUGUUGCCAGAAGCCUCCGCACGGCUUGGAGGCCCAAGCCUGCCAUCCAGGGCAGGGGGCUCCCCUGGGAGGAUGCCACCAGUACCCAAAAGCCUGGCCCAGGCCUCUUGGGCCCCACUCACUGGCCGCCUGGCUUAGCUUCCCCCAGUUCUCUUUAGCUCAAGCAAGGCGGGCCCCAGUUGGGCAGACCUGGACCCCAAUCCUCUUCCGGGCUGAGAAUGCUGGGCAAUUACUUAGCCCAAUUACUGCCGUGGGCAACUACUUCCUCUUCUGCAAAAUGAGCUUCACAGCUCUUGUAAGGGUUGAAUGAACGAUGUCCAUAAAACCCCUGGCCUGGUACCUGGCAGGUUGGAGAGGUUCGUGGCCACGGAGAAGAAGCGCUCAGUACCAGGAGUGGUGUGAGCAGAACCAGUCCCUCCAGGGCUAAGCAGAAUGGGUCCCUCCAGCAUCCCUGAGCCUCCAGCAUCCGAGCCGCUCAGCACCCAGAAGAGCUGAUCAUUAAACAUUUACCAGCACAUCUCUGAUGAAGGCAUUGAGGAUGGGUGAAAUUUCUGGAAGACUGUGAGCUUGGUGGGUCUCUACCCUGGCUGCACGUGAGGGUCACCUGAGGAGCUCUUAGCAAAUCCCAACACUCAAACACCACUCCAGACGGAUUGAAUCAGAAACCGGAGGAAGCAGAGGAAUGGGGGCAGUGAGCUAGAGAGGGUCCCGGGGUCACAGGAGAAGACUGCCCGCCAGAGUGUGUUAGCCGGCGAACCGAAUGCCCUUUGACUGGGAGGUGCUGCUGACGCUGACGAGAGAGAAGAGACAAAGUCCAUGGAUGACCAAGGAGUGAGGUCCAGAGGCCACACGGCAGGAGAAGAGCCAGCCAGCUGACUGGGAAAAUGAAAGCAAAACAACGAAGAAGCAUGUCAGACUUCACCUUUUUGCAAUGACGUGAACGACUUCUUUGCUGAAUCAGAAAAGAUUUUUUUUAAUCCUGGGAGAGUAUUUCCUCAAUUUUUUGUGCCAUUCGCAGUGUGACGUCGACAGACACGCCAUGAUCAAUCUGCAGCAUUAACAUUGUUUCCAUCGCUUUCUUAACUCCAGACAAUGAACAAAACAAUACCUCAGGCCCCGAUUUGCAGCGUUUGCCAGUUUUCGUGGUGUAAAUGCUCCCACAGCAGCUGAUCUCGAGCUGCCAGCAGGAAGUCACGGAACCCAGAAUUGGGACCAGGUGCUCAGUGGCCGCCACUGCCCACGUCUGCCUCACACAGACUCCCUGGACCAGUGUCACCUCGGGACCCGGUAGGAGUACGAUGCAGUGAUCACGGGGAAGAAAUGAGUUUUGAGCAUUUAUUACCUUUGUUCUUAAUAUAAUUGAUGUAAUUGCAAAUUUAAAUAAUUUAAUUUUUAAUAAUGUCUGUGUUUAACAACCGGUUCACAAAAUUUCUGAAAAUUUAGCCAUCAGCUCUCGCAAGCCAGUAUGAGCCGGCUCUAGAACACCACUGGCAGGAUCAUCUGGUUCCUUGCAAAAAUCCUACUUCUUCAACAUUCAUUUGACAGAUAUUUCCUGGGUAUCUACUACGUGCCAGGCAGUGUUCUAGAUGCUGGGGACACAGCAGAGAAGGGAGGUGAGGAGGGCCUGCCGUCGUGGAUUUAUGCUCCUCUGGGAGAGAGACAAGGAGCAUCUUCGAUACACAGAAGUUACUGUCUGUUCUAAGGCAAAGUCGGUGCCAGGGAAAAGAGAAGGGAAGACGAGGAGUGCCGGCGGGGUGGGGCCGUAAUCACAGAGUGGUCAGGAGCAGUUCACUGAAAAGAUGACAUUUGAGCAAAGACUUGAGGGAAAAGGAGAGAAGCAUGCAACUGUCUGAGGAAGAAAGUUCCAGGCUGUGGCCACAGCCAGUGCAAAGACCCUGAGGCAGCAGCGUGCCUGCCAUGUUUGAGGAUCGGUGGAGAGGUCCAUGUACCUGGAGCAGAGCGUGCAAGGGGGAGAGUGAGAAGAAGGUCACAGAGGAAGUCACACAGGGCCUUGGUGGCCUUUGUAGGGCUGUUGAGCUGAGAAGGUCUUACCUCCUUUUUGCAGAUGAAGAAACUGAGCCCUGGAGUCACACAG
ensembl:lncRNA